rnacentral:rRNA from 1 species
ACGGGAGGCAGCAGUGGGGAAUAUUGGACAAUGGGCGCAAGCCUGAUCCAGCCAUGCCGCGUGUGUGAAGAAGGCCUUCGGGUUGUAAAGCACUUUUGUCCGGAAAGAAAAGCAUUCGGUUAAUAACCGGGUGUCAUGACGGUACCGGAAGAAUAAGCACCGGCUAACUUCGUGCCAGCAGCCGCGGUAAUACGAAGGGUGCAAGCGUUACUCGGAAUUACUGGGCGUAAAGCGUGCGUAGGUGGUUCGUUAAGUCUGUCGUGAAAGCCCCGGGCUCAACCUGGGAAUGGCGAUGGAUACUGGCGGGCUAGAGUGCGGUAGAGGAGAGUGGAAUUCCCGGUGUAGCAGUGAAAUGCGUAGAGAUCGGGAGGAACAUCAGUUGCGAAGGCGGCUCUCUGGACCAGCACUGACACUGAGGCACGAAAGCGUGGGGAGCAAACAGGAUUAGAUACCCUGGUA